AUUGAACGCUGGCGGCAGGCCUAACACAUGCAAGUCGAACGGAUGAAGGGAGCUUGCUCCUGGAUUCAGCGGCGGACGGGUGAGUAAUGCCUAGGAAUCUGCCUGGUAGUGGGGGAUAACGUCCGGAAACGGGCGCUAAUACCGCAUACGUCCUGAGGGAGAAAGUGGGGGAUCCUCGGACCUCACGCUAUCAGAUGAGCCUAGGUCGGAUUAGCUAGUUGGUGGGGUAAAGGCCUACCAAGGCGACGAUCCGUAACUGGUCUGAGAGGAUGAUCAGUCACACUGGAACUGAGACACGGUCCAGACUCCUACGGGAGGCAGCAGUGGGGAAUAUUGGACAAUGGGCGAAAGCCUGAUCCAGCCAUGCCGCGUGUGUGAAGAAGGUCUUCGGAUUGUAAAGCACUUUAAGUUGGGAGGAAGGGCAGUAAGUUAAUACCUUGCUGUUUUGACGUUACCAACAGAAUAAGCACCGGCUAACUUCGUG
rnacentral:rRNA from 1 species